rnacentral:rRNA from 1 species
GACGAACGCUGGCGGCGUGCUUAACACAUGCAAGUCGAACGGAAAGGCCCUGCUUUUGUGGGGUGCUCGAGUGGCGAACGGGUGAGUAACACGUGAGUAACCUGCCCUUGACUUUGGGAUAACUUCAGGAAACUGGGGCUAAUACCGGAUAGGAGCUCCUGCUGCAUGGUGGGGGUUGGAAAGUUUCGGCGGUUGUGGAUGGACUCGCGGCUUAUCAGCUUGAUGGUGGGGUAGUGGCUUACCAAGGCUUUGACGGGUAGCCGGCCUGAGAGGGUGACCGGCCACAUUGGGACUGAGAUACGGCCCAGACUCCUACGGGAGGCAGCAGUGGGGAAUAUUGCACAAUGGGCGGAAGCCUGAUGCAGCAACGCCGCGUGCGGGAUGACGGCCUUCGGGUUGUAAACCGCUUUCGCCUGUGACGAAGCGUGAGUGACGGUAAUGGGUAAAGAAGCACCGGCUAACUACGUG